GACGAACGCUGGCGGCGUGCUUAACACAUGCAAGUCGAACGGAAAGGCCCUUCGGGGUCCUCUAGUGGCGAACGGGUGAGUAACACGUGGGUGAUCUGCCCUGCACUUUGGGAUAAGCCUGGGAAACUGGGUCUAAUACCGAAUAGGACCACGCGCUUCAUGGUGUGUGGUGGAAAGCUUUUGCGGUGUGGGAUGGGCCCGCGGCCUAUCAGCUUGUUGGUGGGGUACUGGCCUACCAAGGCGACGACGGCUAGCCGGCCUGAGAGGGUGACCGGCGACACUGGGACUGAGAUACGGCCCAGACGCCUACGGUAGGCAGCAGUGGGGAAUAUUGCACAAUGGGCGCAAGCCUGAUGCAGCGACGCCGCGUGAGGGAUGACGGCCUUCGGGUUGUAAACCUCUUUCAAUAGGGACGAAGCGCAAGUGACGGUACCUAUAGAAGAAGCACCGGCCAACUACGUG
rnacentral:rRNA from 1 species